rnacentral:rRNA from 1 species
AUUGAACGCUGGCGGCAGGCCUAACACAUGCAAGUCGAGCGAGCGGCGGACGGGUGAGUAAUGCCUGGGAAUUGCCCAGUCGAGGGGGAUAACAGUUGGAAACGCCCGCUAAUACCGCAUACGGUUGGCUUGCUCAGGUGGGAUUAGAUAGUUGGUGAGGGAAUGGAUAACCAAGGCGACGAGCCCUAGCUGGUCUGAGAGGAUGAGCAGCCACACUGGAACUGAGAUACGGUCCAGACUCCUACGUGAGGCAGCAGUGGGGAAUAUUGCACAAUGGGGGAAAGUCUGAUGCAGCCAUGCCGCGUGUGUGAAGAAGGCCUUCGGGUUGUAAAGCACUUUCAGCGAGGAGGCGUUACUCGCAUAAGAAGCACCGGCUAACUCCGUGCCAGCAGCCGCGGUAAUAC